rnacentral:lncRNA from 7 species
AGGAACCCAUCGGGCCUAGAGCCUUCUUAUGCUCCAUCAGAAGUAUAGACUCUAAUAAUAUCCUUUUGUAAAAAAAUCCACUAUUAAAAUGUCACUCUCAAAUUGUGAACCAUGUGCAACACCGUCUGUGAAAGACUGUUACCGUAAAAAAAGUUAUUACUAUUUAGUUCUCCAAAGAGAGACCUCUAUAGUAAUUGGUAAUAAGUUGUUUAAAAAUUUUAUCACUCGUAAUUGUUCCUUCAUCUUGCUCGUAAUGGAAAAUCCUUGUUUUUCACCAUUUUUCAUUGACCACUAAGUGGGAAUAUAUACUUAGCAUUACAAUCAUGAGAUAAAAUUUUAGUUGAAUCGGCUGAUUGAUAUCAUUUGAUCUCCUCUUCUCACAGCACAAAAGCAAGUCUACCUUUAUAGAAGUGUUUAAAGAUCAAUUUCUCUGUCCCUAAGAGACUGAAAUCCCGCUUUCUUAUCUAAUAAUUCAACUUUCUUAUUCUCUUUGUUGUGUGGACUGGUACACAGAGAUGAGUUGGCUUUAUUGGGUGGACAUCGAGGUUGCCGAGAGUUCAAAAUAGAAACUGAAACUAUGAUUUUUUUUAUCCCAUCCAUUUCGGAAGAAUUGGUGGUCUAUAUACAAGAUGUCUGCACUAUGCAAGCAUGAAUGAAUUAUGCAUGUUUUCUAUGGUUCCUAGUCGAAUUUCACAUUAACAGCAUGUGAUGUUUGUCAUUCUUGUGCACUAGCUUUAGGUGAAGUGGAAACACAAGUGAAUUUUCAACUGAAGCAAAUGCUAUCCUCACUAUU